UACGUAGGCAGCAAGCGUUUGUUCGGAGUUAUUGGGCGUAAAGCGCGCGCAGGCGGUCCUUUAAGUCUGAUGUGAAAGCCCACGGCUCAACCGUGGAGGGUCAUUGGAAACUGGGGGACUUGAGUGCAGGAGAGAAGAGUGGAAUUCCACGUGUAGCGGUGAAAUGCGUAGAUAUCUGGAGGAACACCGGUGGCGAAGGCGGCAUUCUGGACCGAUAUUGACGCUGAGGAGCGAAAGCCAGGGGAGCAAACGGG
rnacentral:rRNA from 1 species